UCAAAGCCCUUUAACAAAAGAGUAAGUAUCUUUGUCAUCAUUUCACAGGUUGGGAAAAUAAGCAACUUGUCCAAGGUCACACACACAGCAUGCCAGUGGCAGGGCUGGGAACAGAAUCCAGGUCUCCUGUGUCCCAGUUUAUUGCCAAUAACCAACCUUGGGGCAAAAAACCCUCACCAAAAUCUGCUCCAUGGAAAAUACUGUAGCAUAUGGACAAGUUAACGGGUUAUUGGAAGGCAAACACAGUAGGAGAAAGCCCUAAUGCAUUCAUCUCAGAUGUACAUCUCUAGAGAAGAAAAUAAAUGGGAUGUUACUGUAGGAUCUGAUCCCUUAUUCGCAAGGAGUGCUCCCUACUCAUUUGAGUAGUUCUGUUAGCUCUGAAGACUGCUACCGACAGUAAGAACUGCCGAACUAGGGCCAUCAGUUGUAGCGUUAGAGGAAUGAAACAUACAUCAAAACACGAAUAACCACCACCCAGAGUAUUACAUGCUCUCUGAAAUAUAUGUCAGCACACCUUGCAGAAGAUCUAACUGCACUGGAGGGACCAUCAUUCAUGGCAAGCAGAUGAUACCAGAAUAGCUGAAAGGAGCUGGGAAGACAGAUACCCCAUACUUCCAGUGGAGAGACGUGCUGCAUUUAAGAUACUCGAGAUCCACGCCUCAGUAAUUACGGAGAACCCACCCCAGGCAAGGCUACAGCAGAUAAUUCCAAACCUGAGGACUGAUUCAUUAUAAAACUGGGUUGCAAAUACAAACUGAUGUCAAGUUCCGUGCUUUGCUUCCGGGUUUGUCCCACUACCCUGCAUCUAUUGUAUAAUUUAUCGAAACACAACCAGCAGUGCACUACUGAGACAUGCAGUAAAACAAGCCCUGAUCACA